CAUUAUUUUUUCCACCGAAACAAUUCUGUGUAAUUUUUGUAUUACGCACAUGAGGAGCAUAGCAAGGUUUUCCAUUUGAUGGGUGGCUUCUUUUAUAUAAAAUGUUUGUGCUAGGGUCUUUAGAUCUUGGGGAGCUUUUUUCCUUUUUAUUUCCUUUUAUAUAAAAUGUCUGUGCUACUAAGCGACUUGUUUCAUCUUGUCUCGUACACAGCUCCAAGGCAUCAACUGAUCACAUCCUAACCCAACCAAACAAGCCACGUCCAGGAUGGGAUUUUUGGAAAAUUAAUUAAUUAUAUAGAUAUAUUUG
rnacentral:lncRNA from 1 species